rnacentral:rRNA from 1 species
CGGACCUACGGGAGGCAGCAGUGGGGAAUAUUGCACAAUGGGGGAAACCCUGAUGCAGCGACGCCGCGUGAGUGAAGAAGUAUUUCGGUAUGUAAAGCUCUAUCAGCAGGGAAGAAGAAGGACGGUACCUGAGUAAGAAGCCCCGGCUAACUACGUGCCAGCAGCCGCGGUAAUACGUAGGGGGCAAGCGUUAUCCGGAUUUACUGGGUGUAAAGGGAGCGUAGGCGGCAAGGUAAGCCAGAAGUGAAAGCCCGCGGCUCAACUGCGGGACUGCUUUUGGUACUAUCUAGCUA